rnacentral:tRNA from 1 species
GGGGUUUGAAAUUCAUUGGUUUGAUUUAAGAAUGUUCACGGUAUUCUUACCAAGGUUCGAUUCCUUCUGACUCUA